GGUGGUGUGACGCAAUGGUAGCGUGUCGUCCUCCUAUAGAAAUCAUUCUGUUAGACGGAAGUUGUGGGUUCGAGUCCCAUCACCAUCG